rnacentral:rRNA from 1 species
GGGUCAGUAGGUUGGUCGUGCCACCGGUACGUACUGGUCUCACUGAUCCCUCCUUCCUGAAGAACCGUAAUGCCAUUAAUUUGGUGUUGCGGGGAAACAGGACUGUUACUUUGAAAAAAUUAGAGUGUUUAAAGCAAGCUAACGCUUGAAUACAUUAGCAUGGAAUAAUGAAAUAGGACGAUCGAUCCUAUUUUGUUGGUUUCCAGGAUUGACGUA